GCCCUGGUGGUGUAGCCCGGUCUAAUCGGGGGCGAGGAGUCCCCGAGGCCAAACAUACAGGCCUGUCGAGCCUGUGCCCCGGGUUCAAAUCCCGGCCAGGGCGCCA
rnacentral:tRNA from 1 species